GAUGAAGAACGUAGCGAAAUGCGAUACUUGGUGUGAAUUGCAGAAUCCCGUGAACCAUCGAGUCUUUGAACGCAAGUUGCGCCCGAAGCCGUCAGGCCGAGGGCACGCCUGCCUGGGCGUCACACGCCGUUGCCCCCCCGCGCCCCGCACCCAACGCUUUGGGAGCGACCGCGGGGCGGGCUGAUGAUGGCCUCCCGUGCGCUCCGCCGCGCGGUUGGCCCAAAUACCGAGUCCCCGGCGACGUGCGCCACGACGAUCGGUGGUUGAGAGACCUCUGUCGCAAGUCGUGCGCGCCCGUCGCGUCACGCGGGCUCGCAUAGCGCCUCGCGCCGCACCCGGUGCGGAGCUUACAACGCGACCCCAGGUCAGGCGGGGUUACCCGCUGAAUUUAAGCAUAUCAAUAAGCGGAGGA
rnacentral:misc_RNA from 1 species